rnacentral:lncRNA from 1 species
UAGGUCCUGUAAGAAUAAAUACUGCUCGUCCAGGUGGUGGUCGACCAGGCUGGGAACAUUCCAACAAACUCGGCUAUCUGGUUUCUCCACCACAACAAAUUAGAAGAGGGGAGAGGAGCUGCUACAGAAGUAUAAACCGUGGGCGACACCACAGCGAAAGAUCACAGAGGACUCAAGGCCCGUCACUACCAGCAACUCCAGUCUUUGUACCUGUUCCACCACCUCCUUUGUAUCCGCCUCCUCCCCAUACACUUCCUCUCCCUCCGGGUGUUCCUCCUCCACAGUUUUCUCCUCAGUUUCCUCCUGGCCAGCCACCACCUGCUGGGUAUAGUGUCCCUCCUCCAGGGUUUCCUCCAGCUCCUGCCAAUUUAUCAACACCUUGGGUAUCAUCAGGAGUGCAGACAGCUCAUUCAAAUACCAUCCCAACAACACAAGCACCACCUUUGUCCAGGGAAGAAUUCUAUAGAGAGCAGCGACGACUAAAAGAAGAG